rnacentral:rRNA from 1 species
UAGAGUUUGAUCAUGGCUCAGGAUGAACGCUGGCAGUGUGCCUUAGACAUGCAAGUCGGACGGGGCGCUUCUCUUUGAUCCUUUCGGGGUGAUUUGGGUUGUUGCCUAGUGGCGUACGGGUGAGUAACACGUGGGUGACCUGCCCUUAAGUGGGGGAUAACUCUGGGAAACUGGGGCUAAUCCCGCAUGUGCUGCAUCUUUCGUUGGGUGUAGUAAAGGAACUUGUUCCGCUUGGGGAUGGGCCCGCGGCCUAUCAGCUUGUAGGUGUGGUAAUGGCGCACCAAGGCUUUGACAGGUAGCCGGCCUGAGAGGGUGUUCGGCCACAGGGGCACUGAGAUACGGGCCCCACUCCUACGGGAGGCAGCAGUUAGGAAUUUUCGACAAUGGGGGGAACCCUGAUCGAGCGACACUGCGUGAGGGAUGAAGGCCUUAGGGUUGUAAACUUCUAAUAGAGGGACGAUGGUGACGGUACCUCUUGAUUAGCACCGGCUAACUCCGUGCCAGCAGCCGCGGUAAUACGGAGGGUGCGAGCGUUAUCCGGAAUCACUGGGCGUAAAGGGCGCGUAGGCGGUUUGUUAAGUCUGAUGUUAAAGACUGGGGCUCAACCCCGGCAUGGCGUUGGAUACUGGCAGGCUUGACGGUUGGAGAGGCGAGUGAAUUGCCAGUGUAGCGGUGGAAUGCGUAGAUACUGGUAGGAACACCUAUUGCGAAGGCAGCUCGCUGGACAAUUCGUGACGCUGAGGUGCGAAAGUGUGGGGAGCGAACCGGAUUAA